UUUUAUAAAAAGAACUCACUACCCUAUGAAAUUUACGCACACCUCCGUCUUCUUCUUUCUUAUAUUUCUCUUCAUUUCUUUCUUCGAUCUUCCUUCCUUCCUUUCUCUUUUCUUCUUCUUUCUUCCAUCCGAAGCAGAGAGAGAGAGAGAGAGAUUCUGAGGUGGAGAGAGGGAUCGUGAGGGAGAGAGUUACAGAGAAGGAGAGACUCGAGAAGAGCCGAGGGAGAUCGGGAGAGCUGGGUAGUCGCCGGUGUCUAGAGGAGCGACGGUGAGUGAUUUCCGGCGGGGAGGAUGCGAUUUCCGGCAAAUCGACGGUGUUUCAUCGCCGUGAACCCAGAUAACGAGUUAAGAGACUGCGGAGAUAACUGUGAGUAUUCCACUCACUGAGAAUGAUACUGAGUCUUUUAAUAUGAUGAUAUAUGGGUUUGUUUGAUGGUAUGCAAUUGUUUAGGCAUAUGUGUAGGUAAGUGUUUUCUAGAAUACUUACUAUGAAUGUGGUUUGUUUGACUAUGUGAUUGGUUUGUUUGAUUAUGCAGUGAUGUUGACUAUAUUGUGAUCGGUAUGUGAUAUAAAUGGCAUUGCAUAUUAUACUGUCAUGAGAUAUGAAUCUGUUAAUAAUAAGAAUUGAAGGUUUGAGUCCUAACUGAUGAAUGAAUGAAUCAAAAUGAUGGUUAAAGUCCACGGUAACAAAAUGAGGGUUAAAGUCUCCGGUGUUCAUUAAAGGAAAGGAGAUGAUUACAGUCCACAGUAUGAAUAUAGAAGUGAUAAAAAGACUAUGCAUAUGAAUUCAUCAUACAUCAUGUUAUAGUAUUGUGUAUUGUUAAAUGUAUCAAUAUGUCGUAUUAUGGGAUGCAGUUGAUUCACUGUUCCGACAGUAUAACACCACAAUCAUAUUCAAGUUUAUGCAGGUCAAGACGAAGGACGGAGUCAUUAGAAUUGUUAGGUUUAAGAAUGAAACAUUUUAUUAUUAUUAAGUCCUGCAUGUGGCACAUAUGGUAUUUCUGAUUGUAUUUAUUGUAUUAGAACUAAUGGUUUGUAUUUUAAUAUAAUAAUUCAGUCAGCUCUGACAAGUUAUGUU